GGGGGCGCCAUGUUGGGGGGAGCCCCGCGGCGAUUUUGGGGGUUCGGGGGGUCCCGGGGAGGGGUCCCCGAAUUUGGGGGGACCCCAAAGGGUUUUAGGGGAUCCGGGGGCGCUUCCUGAGGGGGUUUUGGGGGUUCCGGAGGGGUCCCGGGGGGGUUUGGGGAGGAUGGGACGGAGCGUGAGGGAGGAACGGGCGGGAUUUGAGGGGUCCUGAGGGGGAUUUUGGGGGAUCCCUGUGGGGGAAUUUGAGUUUUGGGGUUCUUGGGGUCGAUUUAGGGACGUCCCUGAGGGGGGUUUUGGGGGAGGGGAACGCUGGGAUGGGUUUAGGGGGGAUUUUGGGGAGUUCCGUGAAAGGUUUGGGGGUCCUGGGGGGGAUUUGGGGGAAGUUGAGGCGUCCCUGGGGUGGUUUGGGGGUCCCUGAAAUGGAUUUGGGGUCUCUGGAGUGGAUUUGGGGUCUCUGGACUGGAUUUGGGGUCCCUGGACUGGUUUUGGGGAUCCCUGGACUGGUUUUGGGGUCUCUGGACUGGUUUGGGGUUCCUGGACUGGUUUUGGGGUCUCUGAACUGGUUUAGGGGAGCCCUGGACUGGUUUGGGGGUCCUUGGACUGGUUUUGGGGGUUUUGGACAGAUUUGGAGGUCCCUGGAGUGGAUUUGGGGUCUCUGGAGUGGAUUUGGGGACGCUGGGGUGGUUUGGGGAUCCCUGGACUGGAUUUGGGGAUCCCUGAACUGGUUUGGGGGUCCCUGGGCUGGUUUGGGGUCCCUGAACUGGUUUUGGGGUCUCUGGACUGGAUUUGGGGUCCCUGGACUGGUUUGGGGUCCCUGGAGUGGAUUUGGGGUCUCUGGACUGGAUUUGGGGUCUCUGGAGUGGAUUUGGGGACGCUGGAGUGGAUUUGGGGUCCCUGGACUGGAUUUGGGAUCUCUGGACUGGAUUUGGGGGUCCCUGGACUGGUUUUGGGGUCCCUGGACUGGAUUUGGGGUCUCUAGAGUGGAUUUGGGGUCUCUGGACUGGUUUGGGGUCCCUGAACUGGUUUUGGGGUUUUUGGACUGGUUUGGGGUCCUGGGGCUGGUUUUGGGGUUCCUGGACAGGUUUUAG
rnacentral:lncRNA from 1 species